UGGGCAGACAUGAAACAGAAAGCAAUCACGAAGUCUGUAAGAUGUGGGCCCGGCUGUCAUAGGCCGGGCAAGCAAAGUUAUACUGUCAGCUAUCAUCAUGUGAUAAUGUUUAACCAACCAGGAACCGCCUCGUUCUGGUACAUGAAGUAGGUCAACUUGAUGAUGACGUCCAGGGAUAUCACAAGAUAUGAACAAUUGGACAGUGUCAAGGUGAUACAUAAUCAGUAUUCCACAACAAUAUG